rnacentral:tRNA from 1 species
GUGGCUAUAGCUCAGUUGGUUAGAGCACCAGAUUGUGGUUCUGGAAGUCGCCGGUUCGAGUCCGGUUAGCCACCCCA